rnacentral:rRNA from 1 species
UACAGAGGUCCCGAGCGUUGUUCGGAUUCAUUGGGCGUAAAGGGUGCGUAGGCGGCGGGGUAAGUUUGAUGUGAAAUCCCGGGGCUCAACCCUGGAAUUGCAUUGAAUACUACCUUGCUAGAGUACCGGAGAGGAAACUGGAAUUUACGGUGUAGCAGUGAAAUGCGUAGAAAUCGUAAGGAAGACCAGUGGCGAAGGCGAGUUUCUGGACGGUAACUGACGCUGAGGCACGAAGGCCAGGGGAGCAAACGGG